GAAUAUUGCGCAAUGGGGGAAACCCUGACGCAGCGACGCCGCGUGGGUGACGAAGGCCUUCGGGUUGUAAAGCCCUGUCAAAAGGGAAGAGCGUAUUACAUGCUAAUAUCAUGUAGUAUUGACGGUACCUUUAAAGGAAGCACCGGCUAACUCCGUGCCAGCAGCCGCGGUAAUACGGAGGGUGCAAGCGUUGUUCGGAAUCACUGGGCGUAAAGGGCGCGUAGGCGGUUAUGUAAGUCAGAUGUGAAAGCCCAUGGCUCAACCAUGGAAUUGCAUUUGAAACUAUGUGACUUGAGUAUGAGAGGGGGAAAUGGAAUUCCCGGUGUAGAGGUGAAAUUCGUAGAUAUCGGGAGGAACACCUGUGGCGAAGGCGAUUUCCUGGAUCAUAACUGACGCUGAGGCGCGAAAGCGUGGGGAGCAAACAGG
rnacentral:rRNA from 1 species